rnacentral:rRNA from 1 species
GACGAACGCUGGCGGCGUGCUUAACACAUGCAAGUCGAACGGAAAGGCCCUGCUUUUGUGGGGUGCUCGAGUGGCGAACGGGUGAGUAACACGUGAGUAACCUGCCCUUGACUUUGGGAUAACUUCAGGAAACUGGGGCUAAUACCGGAUAGGAGCUCCUGCUGCAUGGUGGGGGUUGGAAAGUUUCGGCGGUUGGGGAUGGACGCGCGGCUUAUCAGCUUGUUGGUGGGGUAGUGGCUUACCAAGGCUUUGACGGGUAGCCGGCCUGGGAGGGUGACCGGCCACAUUGGGACUGAGAUACGGCCCAGACUCGUACGGGAGGCAGCAGUGGGGAGUAUUGCACAGUGGGCGGAAGCCUGAUGCAGCAGCGCCGGGUGCGGGAUGACGGCCUUCGGGUUGUAAACCGCUUUCGCCUGUGACGAAGCGUGAGUGACGGUAAUGGGUAAAGAAGCACCGGCUAACUACGUG